AUUGAACGCUGGCGGCAGGCCUAACACAUGCAAGUCGAGCGGAUGAAGGGAGCUUGCUCCUGGAUUCAGCGGCGGACGGGUGAGUAAUGCCUAGGAAUCUGCCUGGUAGUGGGGGAUAACGUCCGGAAACGGGCGCUAAUACCGCAUACGUCCUGAGGGAGAAAGUGGGGGAUCUUCGGACCUCACGCUAUCAGAUGAGCCUAGGUCGGAUUAGCUAGUUGGUGGGGUAAAGGCCUACCAAGGCGACGAUCCGUAACUGGUCUGAGAGGAUGAUCAGUCACACUGGAACUGAGACACGGUCCAGACUCCUACGGGAGGCAGCAGUCGGGAAUAUUGGACAAAGGGCGAAAGCCUGAUCCAGCCAUGCCGCGUGUGUGAAGAAGGUCUUCGGAUUGUAAAGCACUUUAAGUUGGGGGGAAGGGCAGUAAGUUAAUACCUUGCUGUUUUGACGUUACCAACAGAAUAAGCACCGGCUAACUUCGUG
rnacentral:rRNA from 1 species